AUUGAACGCUGGCGGAAUGCUUUACACAUGCAAGUCGAACGGCAGCACGGGUGCUUGCAUCUGGUGGCGAGUGGCGAACGGGUGAGUAACAUAUCGGAACGUAUCCAAUAAUGGGGGAUAACUAAUCGAAAGGUUGGCUAAUACCGCAUACGCCCUACGGGGGAAAGCUAGGGACCUUCGGGCCUGGCGUUAAUGGAGCGGCCGAUAUCUGAUUAGCUAGUUGGUGGGGUAAUGGCCUACCAAGGCGACGAUCAGUAGCUGGUCUGAGAGGACGACCAGCCAAAAGGGAACUGAGACCAGGUGCAGACUCCUACGGGAGGCAGCAGUGGGGAAUUUUGGACAAUGGGCGCAAGCCUGAUCCAGCCAUUCCGCGUGAGUGAAGAAGGCCUUCGGGUUGUAAAGCUCUUUCGCAAGGGAAGAAAACUUAUCCUCUAACAUAGGAUGAGGUUGACGGUACCUUGAUAAGAAGCACCGGCUAACUACGUGCCAGCAGCCGCCGUAACAC
rnacentral:rRNA from 1 species